rnacentral:piRNA from 1 species
UGCCUUCUUAUCACGCUGAGUUUGACCACU